AAAGAAACCAACCGGGAUUGCCUCAGUAACGGCGAGUGAAGCGGCAAGAGCUCAAAUUUGAAAGCUGGCCCCCUCGGGGUCCGCGUUGUAAUUUGCAGAGGAUGCUUCGGGCACGGCCCCUGUCUAAGUGCCCUGGAACGGGCCGUCGGAGAGGGUGAGAAUCCCGUCUGGGACGGGGAGUCCGUGUCCAUGUGAAGCUCCUUCGACGAGUCGAGUUGUUUGGGAAUGCAGCUCUAAAUGGGUGGUAAAUUUCAUCUAAAGCUAAAUACUGGCCGGAGACCGAUAGCGCACAAGUAGAGUGAUCGAAAGAUGAAAAGCACUUUGAAAAGAGAGUUAAACAGCACGUGAAAUUGUUGAAAGGGAAGCGCUUGCGACCAGACUCGCCCGCAGGGUUCAGCCGGCAUUCGUGCCGGUGUACUUCUCUGCGGGCGGGCCAGCGUCGGUUCGGGCGGCCGGUCAAAGGCCCCUGGAAUGUGUCACCCUCCGGGGUGUCUUAUAGCCAGGGGUGCAAUGCGGCCAGCCUGGACCGAGGAACGCG
rnacentral:rRNA from 1 species